AACGAAAUCUAAUUAUUCGAGUACUUAUGGAAUUAUCGAAGCCACCAUGUAUCCCGAUCAUCACAUUUACCGAAAAAGCAAAACCUAAAAGCCAGAAUCUCCAUCCCUACAACUUUUUCCCUAGGAUGUGCAAGAGACCCACGACAGAGAGGACAGGUCGAACGACCGUAUUUUUCCCACCUCUGCAAACAGCCGCCAUGAAAACGGUGGUCGCAUCUCAGUUCUCUAGUCUCCUCUCCUCCUUCAAUCUUCAUUAAACACACUGCACAUGUUUCACCUUCUUCUUCUUCACUGUUCAUAGUUUCCGCACCAGCUUCUGCAUGAAACUCGGGAAUAAACGGUAAUGAAUCAAGAAAUUUCAUGCCCAUUUCAAAAUUCGUAGGAAUGAUCAGUAGCUUUCGGCAGAUGCCAAAGACGAAAAUGGGAAUAAGAGAGAAAGUUGACAAGAUAAGGCUGGUUGGAGAGGAGGCAUGUGACAACAUGCAUAUAAAUAUUGAAGAGAUCUGCUGACCCAUAAUCAAUCAGAUGAGAUAUUAAUUGGUUAAUUAAAUAUUAGAUAUAUGAUUAGGUAGCAACCGGGUGGAACUUUCUUCUAAGCUAAUUCAUUCGUUAAUUAUUGUAUCAUUAAGAGAAUCUUAUGAUUAAUUAGCGAAAAUUCCCUCCAUUUGCAGAGCUUGCUAGCCAGUUUUUA